rnacentral:rRNA from 1 species
UACGUAGGGCGCAAGCGUUGUCCGGAAUUAUUGGGCGUAAAGAGCUCGUAGGCGGCUUGUCGCGUCGAUUGUGAAAGCCCGGGGCUUAACUCCGGGUCUGCAGUCGAUACGGGCAGGCUAGAGUUCGGUAGGGGAGAUCGGAAUUCCUGGUGUAGCGGUGGAAUGCGCAGAUAUCAGGAGGAACACCGGUGGCGAAGGCGGAUCUCUGGGCCGAUACUGACGCUGAGGAGCGAAAGCGUGGGGAGCAAACAGG